GGGGAAUAUUGCACAAUGGAGGAAACUCUGAUGCAGCGAUGCCGCGUGAGGGAAGAAGGUUUUCGGAUUGUAAACCUCUGUGUACAGGGACGAUAAUGACGGUACCUGUUCAGAAAGCACCGGCUAACUACGUGCCAGCAGCCGCGGUAAAACGUAGGGUGCAAGCGUUGUCCGGAAUUACUGGGUGUAAAGGGAGCGCAGGCGGACCGGCAAGUUGGAAGUGAAAACUAUGGGCUCAACCCAUAAAUUGCUUUCAAAACUGCUGGCCUUGAGUAGUGCAGAGGUAGGUGGAAUUCCCGGUGUAGCGGUGGAAUGCGUAGAUAUCGGGAGGAACACCAGUGGCGAAGGCGACCUACUGGGCACCAACUGACGCUGAGGCUCGAAAGCAUGGGUAGCAAACAGGAUUAGAUACCCUGGUAGUCCAUGCCGUAAACGAUGAUUACUAGGUGUUGGAGGAUUGACCCCUUCAGUGCCGCAGUUAACACAAUAAGUAAUCCACCUGGGGAGUACGACCGCAAGGUUGAAACUCAAAGGAAUUGACGGGGGCCCGCACAAGCAGUGGAGUAUGUGGUUUAAUUCGAAGCAACGCGAAGAACCUUACCAGGUCUUGACAUCCGAUGCAUAGUGCAGAGAUGCAUGAAGUCCUUCGGGACAUCGAGACAGGUGGUGCAUGGUUGUCGUCAGCUCGUGUCGUGAGAUGUUGGGUUAAGUCCCGCAACGAGCGCAACCCUUAUUGCCAGUUACUACGCAAGAGGACUCUGGCGAGACUGCCGUUGACAAAACGGAGGAAGGUGGGGAGGACGUCAAAUCAUCAUGCCCUUUAUGACCUGGGCUACACACGUACUACAAUGGCGUUUAACAAAGAGAAGCAAGACCGCGAGGGGGAGCAAAACUCAAAAACAACGUCUCAGUUCAGAUUGCAGGCUGCAACUCGCCUGCAUGAAGUCGGAAUUGCUAGUAAUCGCGGAUCAGCAUGCCGCGGUGAAUACGUUCCCG
rnacentral:rRNA from 1 species